GGCAGCGGCAGCUACACAUGCAGUCGAGGGGUAGAGGGUGCUUGCACCCUUGAGACCGGCGCACGGGUGCGUAACGCGUAUGCAACCUACCUAUUGCAGGGGAAUAGCCCAGGGAAACUUGGAUUAAUGCCCCAUAGUCCAUAUUGAGAGCAUUUGAGAUAUGGUAAAGAUUUAUCGGCAAUAGAUGGGCAUGCGUCCCAUUAGCUAGUUGGUAUGGUAACGGCAUACCAAGGCUACGAUGGGUAGGGGCCCUGAGAGGGGGAUCCCCCACACUGGUACUGAGACACGGACCAGACUCCUACGGGAGGCAGCAGUGAGGAAUAUUGGACAAUGGGCGGGAGCCUGAUCCAGCCAUGCCGCGUGCAGGAAGACUGCCCUAUGGGUUGUAAACUGCUUUUUUACGGGAAGAAACACCCCCACGUGUGGGGGCUUGACGGUACCGUACGAAUAAGGACCGGCUAACUCCGUGCCAGCAGCCGCGGUAAUACGGAGGGUCCGAGCGUUAUCCGGAAUCAUUGGGUUUAAAGGGUCCGUAGGCGGGCGUCUAAGUCAGUGGUGAAAUCUCGCGGCUCAACCGUGAAAUUGCCAUUGAUACUGGUCGCCUUGAAUUAGUGUGAAGUGGCUAGAAUAUGUAGUGUAGCGGUGAAAUGCUUAGAUAUUACAUAGAAUACCGAUUGCGAAGGCAGGUCACUAACACUAUAUUGACGCUGAUGGACGAAAGCGUGGGGAGCGAACAGGAUUAGAUACCCUGGUAGUCCACGCCGUAAACGAUGGAUACUAGCUGUCCGGCCUGCAUUGGUAGGCUGGGUGGCCAAGCGAAAGUGAUAAGUAUCCCACCUGGGGAGUACGUUCGCAAGAAUGAAACUCAAAGGAAUUGACGGGGGCCCGCACAAGCGGUGGAGCAUGUGGUUUAAUUCGAUGAUACGCGAGGAACCUUACCAGGGCUUAAAUGUAGUCUGACAGGGGUGGAAACACCCCCUUCUUCGGACAGACUGCAAGGUGCUGCAUGGUUGUCGUCAGCUCGUGCCGUGAGGUGUCAGGUUAAGUCCUAUAACGAGCGCAACCCCUGUCGUUAGUUGCCAGCAUGUAAAGAUGGGAACUCUAACGAGACUGCCGGUGCAAACCGUGAGGAAGGUGGGGAUGACGUCAAAUCAUCACGGCCCUUACGUCCUGGGCCACACACGUGCUACAAUGGCAGGUACAAUGGGCAGCCACGCCGCAAGGCGGAGCGAAUCCACAAAACCUGUCUCAGUUCGGAUCGGGGUCUGCAACUCGACCCCGUGAAGCUGGAAUCGCUAGUAAUCGGAUAUCAGCCAUGAUCCGGUGAAUACGUUCCCGGGCCUUGUACACACCGCCCGUCAAGCCAUGGAAGCUGGAAGCACCUGAAGUCCGUCACCGCGAGGAGCGGCCUAGGUGAAG
rnacentral:rRNA from 1 species